rnacentral:misc_RNA from 1 species
UAAUAAGUGUUUUAUGGCACUUUUUAAAUCCAUAUCCACCUUGUGUGCAAUGUCAGUCGAUCUUCUUCAUGGAGAUCGACCAAACAUCAACCUUUAUCUUUUAACAUCUUUGUCUGAAAAAUAUUAUGAAUAAAUAAUUCAAAAUA